rnacentral:rRNA from 1 species
UUGAAAUGGCUUUCCCUCCAGAGUGGAUCCUGAGUACGGCGGAACACGUGAAAUUCCGUCGGAAUCCGGGAGGACCAUCUCCCAAGGCUAAAUACUCCCUAGUGACCGAUAGUGAACCAGUACCGUGAGGGAAAGGUGAAAAGCACCCCGGAAGGGGAGUGAAACAGUUCCUGAAACCGUGUGCCUACAAGUAGUUAGAGCCCGUUAAUGGGUGAUAGCGUGCCUUUUGUAGAAUGAACCGGCGAGUUACGAUUUGUUGCAAGGUUAAGCGGAAAAAGCGGAGCCGUAGCGAAAGCGAGUCUGAAUAGGGCGCAUAAGUAACAGGUCGUAGACCCGAAACCAGGUGAUCUACCCAUGUCCAGGAUGAAGGUAAGGUAAUACUUACUGGAGGUCCGAACCCACGCACGUUGAAAAGUGCGGGGAUGAGGUGUGGGUAGCGGAGAAAUUCCAAUCGAACUUGGAGAUAGCUGGUUCUCUCCGAAAUAGCUUUAGGGCUAGCCUCGAGGUAAAGAGUCAUGGAGGUAGAGCACUGUUUGGACUAGGGGCCCUUCUCGGGUUACCGAAUUCAGAUAAACUCCGAAUGCCAUGUACUUAUACUCGGGAGUCAGACUGCGAGUGAUAAGAUCCGUAGUCGAAAGGGAAACAGCCCAGACCACCAGUUAAGGUCCCCAAAUAUAUGUUAAGUGGAAAAGGAUGUGGGGUUGCUUAGACAACCAGGAUGUUGGCUUAGAAGCAGCCACCAUUGAAAGAGUGCGUAAUAGCUCACUGGUCGAGUGACCCCGCGCCGAAAAUGUACCGGGGCUAAACAUAUUACCGAAACUGUGGAUGAACCUCUUUAGAGGUUCGUGGUAGGAGAGCGUUCUAAGGGCGGUGAAGUCAGACCGGAAGGACUGGUGGAGCGCUUAGAAGUGAGAAUGCCGGUAUGAGUAGCGAAAGAAGGGUGAGAAUCCCUUCCACCGAAUAUCUAAGGUUUCCUGAGGAAGGCUCGUCCGCUCAGGGUUAGUCGGGACCUAAGCCGAGGCCGAUAGGCGUAGGCGAUGGACAACAGGUAGAGAUUCCUGUACCAGUGCUAAUUGUUUAACCGAUG